CGUAGGUGGCGAGCGUUGUCCGGAAUUACUGGGUGUAAAGGGCGCGUAGGCGGGAAUGCAAGUCAGAUGUGAAAUACCAAAGCUUAACUUUGGAACUGCAUCUGAAACUGUGUUUCUUGAGUGUCGGAGAGGAAAGCGGAAUUCCCCGUGUAGCGGUGAAAUGCGUAGAUAUGGGGAGGAACACCGGUGGCGAAGGCGGCUUUCUGGACGAUAACUGACGCUGAGGCGCGAAAGCGUGGGUAGCAAACAGGAUUAGAUACCCUGGUAGUCCACGCUGUAAACGAUGGAUACUAGGUGUAGGAGGUAUCGACCCCUUCUGUGCCGCAGUUAACACAAUAAGUAUCCCACCUGGGGAGUACGGCCGCAAGGCUG
rnacentral:rRNA from 1 species